UAUUGUUUUUGCCAAAAGUUGAACUUCCCACUUCUUUUUCCCACCCACAUUUAACUCUCUCUCUCUCUCUCUCUCUCCAAUUGAGACUUAAGAGAGGUCAGACCUAAAUCAAAAUCAUAUCUACCAAAACCGCAACCCCCACCCUCCCUCGUCUACCACCGUUUCCGAUCCAUAUCUCGGUUUUCUCCAUUAGCUCGUCGGCUUCUCGGCCUCUACCUCUCUUGUUUUGAUUUCUCACUCUUGAAAUCGCAGGCUAACACCUCAAACAAGCCAACCCAAAAUCCGAAUGCAAACCUUUCUUCAUCGGCUCUCUUUGUGGGUAUGGAUUUUAACAGGAACAAGAUUGAAAUGUAUGAGUGGCGGAACUAUGUAGGAGGCUCCUUGGGCUAUAGCCUAACCGAGAUUUGGGAUGAAAAACCUUCAAAACUCUCCAAGUCUCCAUACUCCAAUCUGAAUGCACAGAACAGCCUGAAAUCUUACUUGGGGAGCGUGAAUUAGUGGAAGCCGAACUGAGGAAGAGCUGCAGAUCGGAGCUGCGGAAGUGCGGCGACUGUUAUCAGUAGAAGAGAUUGUUUUUUAUAGCAAUCAUGUGUUCGAGCAGUGGAAUGAGAACUGACCUGUGCCAAGGUUUUGAUGUGUUCAGAAGCACCACUAUCAACAGGUCACUUUGAUGUCAUCUGUUGCUUAUUUUGGUUGUUGUCAUUGUAUUUCGAUAGCAAGUGUUUGCAUAAUGUGAUAGUAUUUACAAGCUUUAGAGAAAACGGUUCAAUAUGGUUUCCCGUGUAAGUAGUGUUCAAAUGAAGGUCCUUGCGUUUAAAGUAGAGUAUUGUAUAUGUCUUCCUUGCUAAGUGAAAAUUCCACCUAGUCGAGGAUGUACUACUAAGAAUACAACUGAAUUGUUGAAGUUUCUCCUCUGCACAUAUAAAUUUAGAGUCUUAAUUUCCUUUAUUUAUCAUUUACUUUUAGUUUGAUUUGGAGUGUGAUCCUUGCCAAUUAAAGGGUAUCAGUCACCCCAAUGAACCCAGAGCCAAGAAGAAGUGGAUGA